AUCAAGAGAGCUUAGCUCCUUUAGACGUUAGCGGCGGACGGGUUUAGUAACACGUGGAUAACCUACCUAUAAGACUGGGAUAACUUCGGGAAACCGGAGCUAAUACCGGAUAACAUAUUGAACCGCAUGGUUCAAUAGUGAAAGGCGGCUUUGCUGUCACUUAUAGAUGGAUCCGCGCCGUAUUAGCUAGUUGGUAAGGUAACGGCUUACCAAGGCAACGAUACGUAGCCGACCUGAGAGGGUGAUCGGCCACACUGGAACUGAGACACGGUCCAGACUCCUACGGGAGGCAGCAGUAGGGAAUCUUCCGCAAUGGGCGAAAGCCUGACGGAGCAACGCCGCGUGAGUGAUGAAGGUCUUCGGAUCGUAAAACUCUGUUAUCAGGGAAGAACAAAUGUGUAAGUAACUGUGCACAUCUUGACGGUACCUGAUCAGAAAGCCACGGCUAACUACGUGCCAGCAGCCGCGGUAAUACGUAGGUGGCAAGCGUUAUCCGGAAUUAUUGGGCGUAAAGCGCGCGUAGGCGGUUUUUUAAGUCUGAUGUGAAAGCCCACGGCUCACCGUGGAGGGUCAUUGGAAACUGGAAAACUUGAGUGCAGAAGAGGAAAGUGGAAUUCCAUGUGUAGCGGUGAAAUGCGCAGAGAUAUGGAGGAACACCAGUGGCGAAGGCGACUUUCUGGUCUGUAACUGACGCUGAUGUGCGAAAGCGUGGGGAUCAAACAGGAUUAGAUACCCUGGUAGUCCACGCCGUAAACGAUGAGUGCUAAGUGUUAGGGGGUUUCCGCCCCUUAGUGCUGCAGCUAACGCAUUAAGCACUCCGCCUGGGGAGUACGACCGCAAGGUUGAAACUCAAAGGAAUUGACGGGGACCCGCACAAGCGGUGGAGCAUGUGGUUUAAUUCGAAGCAACGCGAAGAACCUUACCAAAUCUUGACAUCCUUUGACCGCUCUAGAGAUAGAGUCUUCCCCUUCGGGGGACAAAGUGACAGGUGGUGCAUGGUUGUCGUCAGCUCGUGUCGUGAGAUGUUGGGUUAAGUCCCGCAACGAGCGCAACCCUUAAGCUUAGUUGCCAUCAUUAAGUUGGGCACUCUAAGUUGACUGCCGGUGACAAACCGGAGGAAGGUGGGGAUGACGUCAAAUCAUCAUGCCCCUUAUGAUUUGGGCUACACACGUGCUACAAUGGACAAUACAAAGGGCAGCUAAACCGCGAGGUCAAGCAAAUCCCAUAAAGUUGUUCUCAGUUCGGAUUGUAGUCUGCAACUCGACUACAUGAAGCUGGAAUCGCUAGUAAUCGUAGAUCAGCAUGCUACGGUGAAUACGUUCCCGGGUCUUGUACACACCGCCCGUCAACAACCGACGAGAGUUUGUAACUACCUCGUAUAG
rnacentral:rRNA from 1 species